rnacentral:rRNA from 1 species
UACGAAGGGGGCGAGCGUUGUUCGGAAUUACUGGGCGUAAAGGGCGCGUAGGCGGCCGAUCAAGUCAGAUGUGAAAGUCCAGGGCUCAACCCUGGGAUGCCGGUGGAUACUGUCGAGCUCGAGUCCGGAAGAGGCGAGUGGAAUUCCUGGUGUAGCGGUGAAAUGCGCAGAUAUCAGGAGGAACACCAAUGGCGAAGGCAGCUCGCUGGGACGUGACUGACGCUGAGACGCGAAAGCGUGGGGAGCAAACAGG